rnacentral:rRNA from 1 species
GUAGGUGGCAAGCGUUGUCCGGAAUUAUUGGGCGUAAAGCGCGCGCAGGCGGUUCGUUUAAGUCUGAUGUGAAGCCCACGGGCUCAACCGUGGAGAGUCAUUGGAAACUGGAGAACUUGAGUACAGAAGAGGAAAGCGGAAUUCCACGUGUAGCGGUGAAAUGCGUAGAGAUGUGGAGGAACACCAGUGGCGAAGGCGGCUUUCUGGUCUGUAACUGACGCUGAGGCGCGAAAGCGUGGGGAGCAAACAGGAUUAGAUACCCUGGUAGUCCACGCCGUAAACGAUGAGUGCUAAGUGUUAGGGGGGUUUCCGCCCCUUAGUGCUGCAGCUAACGCAUUAAGCACUCCGCCUGGGGAGUACGACCGCAAGGUUG